rnacentral:rRNA from 1 species
GUCGAGAAUAAUUCACAAUGGACGAAAGUCUGAUGGUGCAACGCCGCGUGGAGGAUGAAGGUCUUCGGAUUGUAAACUCCUGUCAUCGGGGAGUAAGACCUGGCGGUAAAUAGCCGACAGGGUUGAUAGUACCCGAAGAGGAAGGGACGGCUAACUUCGUGCCAGCAGCCGCGGUAAUACGAAGGUCCCAAGCGUUGUUCGGAAUCACUGGGCGUAAAGGGAGCGUAGGCGGCGUGGUAAGUCAGAUGUGAAAUCCCGGGGCUCAACCCCGGACCUGCAUCCGAUUCUGCCAUGCUUGAGGGUUGGAGAGGUAGCUGGAAUUCUCGGUGUAGCAGUGAAAUGCGUGGAUAUCGAGAGGAACACUCGUGGCGAAGGCGAGCUACUGGACAACAUCUGACGCUGAGGCUCGAAGGCCAGGGGAGCAAAAGGGAUUAGAAACCCCAGUAGUCC